UGGUCUGCAAAUCUCACAUCAACAUAGCCGCCUUUCUUAUUUGGAUCCAGGAAGAGAGACUGCAAAAUCAAAUUUCAGAAUUAGAACAUAUGUUAGUAACUUCAUGUAGUCUGCAGUUGGACAGAAUUAGACAAAAUUAAAUUUGAGAAUUACAACAUAUUGGUAUAGAAUGAUUACUAAUGCACAUUACCUGACCAUACUUCUGUGCGUAGUACUGUACCACAAAUUCUGAAACCAUGGGUUUACCAUCUAAAGCCUCACACCGAAGGGUAUCUUUGGGAUCAUCGUCUGGGAGGUGAUUCGUGGGCAGGGGAGCCUUUCCAGAUGGCUUUUUGCUCUGUCCAACUGCAGAACUGGGAGAAGGUCUCUUCCUGGUUGUUGACAUCUAAAACAGAGUGAAUUUAGUCACACACACACACGGUCAAAAAUAAGUUAAGAGCACACGAAUCAACGUACUCUUGGACAAUGACCACCAAGUAAUAAAUUUAAAGGGACAAAAAUAAGAUUUUCAGCUCAAAGAUUUUUUUUCCCAGAGUCAUAAAUGAAUUCACAGUGCACAGAGGGACAUCUUCCUGUACGCAUUGUCAGAUAAGUAAUGAAUGAAAUGGAACAACCGGCCAGUAAUUUAUACCAAAAAAAAGGGAGUAACAGGUUGUGCUGGGGAAUGCUCCCAUGGCUAAGGCCACCCAAGGCCAGCUAAACGAAUUGAGAGCAUCCGUGCGGCAAAUUUAGUUAGGAGAGUGAUGAAUCUGACCUGAGCUGACCUGCCGGUGGAGAAGGUGUAGCAGACGCGGCCGCCGCCGCCGGAG
rnacentral:lncRNA from 1 species